UACAGAGGGUGCAAGCGUUGUUCGGAAUUAUUGGGCGUAAAGCGCACGUAGGCGGCGAUGCAAGUCAGAUGUGAAAGCCCAGGGCUCAACCCUGGAAGUGCAUCCGAAACGGCAUCGCUUGAGUCCCGGAGAGGGUGGUGGAAUUCCCAGUGUAGAGGUGAAAUUCGUAGAGAUUGGGAGGAACAUCAGUGGCGAAGGCGACCACCUGGACGGAGACUGACGCUGAGGUGCGAAAGCGUGGGGAGCAAACAGG
rnacentral:rRNA from 1 species